UGGAUCAAGGAUACAUCUAAAAUCUGCAGGACACCAGCACUCGAGGCCUGGAGUUGCCUGCCCCUGUUCUAAACCUUCCAUUACCUCUAAUUUUGUGUUGCAGCAUACAUGAGCAAACAACCUGCCCCAAGAAGGUUGUCCAGCAUUACAACCUUUAAAAGAAAAAUAAGCAAAUUACAAAAAAUGGUGCACUUUUGAAGAAAAAAAACAAAUCUUCAUGCUUACUCUUGACAAGCUGAUGGUUACGGUGUGAAACGAUUCUCUUUAUAUGAGGCUAGUGAACUAUUAAAGAUGUUUCUGCACAAAACGCUUGGGUGGAGCACAUCGCUGGUUAGCGGCCCGGAUCAGCUGUUUUUUUUGUUUGGUUUUUUUUGAUGAAGAGGAAAGUACCUAAAUGGUUGCGUCAGUUAGAGAAACCUGUGAAGAGAAAACUGCAACUAGUACAAAUUUGUUGACCUAUUCUGCUCUUGUUUCACUGGUAAAUUUGACUGAAUGCAACUGAGAAUGCUGCAGCUGUGGCCUCAAAGCCUUAGCUGUGUCAGGGCUUGUUAUUAUAAGAGGUGUGUCUCUUCCUGUAACUUAAUAUAAAUUGAAUAAAGAGGAAAAGGGUGCUUAGAAAAGUUCAGAUUAUAGUUAUGAAAGGCUUUAAAAAGCAUCAUUGUUUUCAUGUGUUUUGUCUCCAUCACUACUGCCCUGUACUCAUUGCUGUGGAGACGCCAAAGCAGACCUCUCAAAAGAUCUUAGAACAAGUCAUGCAAUACUUCCUUGAACUUACUUACUGGCAGUGAAGUCUGGAAAAAAAAAUAUUUGUCUUACACAACUGAUUUCUUCCUGUGUAUGUCAUGGUCCGCGGCCCGGCGUCCGAGGAGCUGAUGCGAUGCUCACGCCCACGGGCGUGGCUGUUAACUCUACACCUGCAUCUCAUCCCAGGCGAUUAUCAGGUGGACUACUUGAUCCAGCCCAGCCUGCUGCUCCACGCCAGUCCGUAAUCGUCUCACAGCGAUAACUGCUCGGCGUGUUUUUGAGCCACCUGCCUGUCCACCUGCCCGCCUGGAGUUUUUUGAUCACCUUCAGUAUCCCUCACUUUGCCUUCCCUGGAGCUCCCCGCGGACCUUCACCCCUCCCUCCGGCUCUCACGGCCCCGCUUUGACUCCUCCCUCAGUCCCGUUUUCGGCGUUCCUGCGCGACUCUUCUCCCGGUGCCUUGGUUUCUCUAGUUUCACGUGUGUUUUCCUUAACCCUCCCGGGACACCUUUAGUUAGAAUAAAGUUUAUUUUCUCGUACUCCUGCGUGUGUGUUGGCUCUGCUUCUGGGUUCAGCUUGUGCACUGAACUUCGGUUCAUGACAGUGUAUGACUAGAUUUACCCCCUUUAUAAACAAGCCCCCCAAUCAUAAUUAUUCACUAGAGUCCAAAACCCCCUUACAUUUUCCUACAUUUUCUUAAUCUGUGAAAAUGUAAACUAGAACUAGCAAAAUUUACUUGAAUAAAGUAAAAGGAUGCAAAAUUUUGAUAAAGGAAGCUUUUAACUUCAAACAAAUAUUACUAAUAUUCAGUUAAUCAAAUGGUGAGGAUGUCCUGUUUUAGUUUUUAGCAUUUUGUCUUAAUACUGUAAUUUAAUGUGGCACAUCAUAUCACAAAACAUUACCACAUCUGUAAAUGAAAUGUAAUCCAAGUUUCUUUUUUGGUAGCUUGUAUUUUCACGUAAAACGUUUAUAUCGCCUUUUAAGGACACGUACACACAAGCCUUGCCAACAUGAAUAAUCAGGAGUCCUCCAUGAUUAUCUCCAGUCCUCCAUUCCUAACUCAUGAUUAAUAUUUAGCUUUGUUGCAGGCUGUCUUUAAACAGUGUGUCAGUGCAGCUGUUUCCACAGAAGAGCCCAACAGCUGAGAGAGGAUCAAGGCUCCAAAAAGCCGGAUGACAACAUGCACUUUAAAUAAAAGGCUCACAUCAUUUGUAAUUAGGAUUGCACAACAAGUUAAAGACCACUUUGGUGAAUUAUUGCCUGUGGCCUCACAUCCCUUUAAACUAUAUUUAAGGGAGUAAGGGUUUUGCUGAGUAUGUCUUUUUUUGGCUUACACUUUGUGCACAAAGCAAAUACAGUCUGGUGUUAGUCCCACACGUCACGUGUAUGUUGCUCCGGGGAACUUGAGCAGAAGCUGGUGCACAUUAGAAACGGGGAGGAAUUUCAGACGGACUAAAUUAGGGUAAUAGCUUAGCGUAAAUCACGUUCGUCAUGUCUGAAGUGCAUUUUCGUAGCACAGACUACCAUAGCGUCUCAGUUUAACUGUACUUGGGGAUUAUUUUGAGUCUCACGUCCACAUCAGUAUGCUCACAAUUACAGUAACAUUUAGAGUCCCACUGAAUAAUUUUAUUGCAGAUAUUAGGUAUUAGCCUGUCUGCAUCAUCAUUUAUAAUGGCCAAUGAAUAAAAAUUGAAAAGUAACACAAAUGGAAAAAACACCCUUCAACCAUGUCAUGAGUGCUGAUGUUGCAUAGUGUCUGCUGUAAGGCACUCUGCAACUGCAACCAUGUUUCGUGUCUGAAAGAAACGAAAAUGUUGCCCAGUGCAUACAUACAAAACCGUAAAUGUGAACUUCAUGGUAACAUCAGUGAAAUAAAUCACUGGUUCCCUAACAAUGAGAGAUGUCUUGAAGUGUGUUAGAUACUGGGUCAGUUGUAGACCACUAUAUCGCCAUACUCAAUGGUUAUGUUGGUUUAUGGUUGCUCAAAAUCUGUCAUCUUUCUCUUAUUAAGCUGUCAGGUUUCUUGUAUCUUGUGGCUGUUUUGAGUGAAACUUGCAUGAUGUAGUUACAGCACUUUAAAACUCCCGAAAUCAUCUGUAGAUAUUACAUUUUCGUAUUUCUGAAAUCAGUGUGACCUCUUGUACUUUGACAGCUAACCUUUCCUCAUGCAUGUUUACAGAGCAGCGGUGACCCAUGUUAAUUUCGGCCUACUGGCGCCCGUAACAUACGAAGCCCGUAUUGGUGAUUAGCGGGUUGACUUACGUUAGCCAUCAACCAGUCACUCAAACUGUUUCUUGCCAAAACACAGUGUCACUUGGACACGUUGUGGGAUGAGUUUGUUUUUAAUGACAAAGAUCAGGGAAUGCAAAACGUGAUACACUGUGAAUACGUCAUACAGCCACUGUACAUGUUUUUUUUAAAGAGAGGUUACUACCUACUGUCCUUCAUGUAGUUUUAUGUGUGGUGUUUUUUAUUUACUGUCGAAUCAUCUGUUUGCAUUUGUGCUUAAAAAUGUCCAAUCCAGUUGUUUAUCCAUGACUUAAUUCUUUGUACAUCAGUUUUAUUAGACAUGUUGUUUGGAUGAAUACUUACCAUAAUGCUGCACUUGUACCAUAGUCCCAUUACGGGAAGAUGAUUUAAAACAUGACCACGCCAUGUAUAAUUUGGCUGCCAUACAAUCGACUUGGCUGUGCAGACAAGAAGUGAUUAAACAGUGAAGUUUUCAACACUAUGUUGAUUCACAGUCAUGCGUUUGCAGCACACCCAUGCCAUAGAGAGAAGCUGAUAAAACAGAAGUGCAGUCCUAUGCUAAGUGUUCACAGUAAACACUUCAUACCCGGAUGUUUACAGCCUGAGCAGCUUGAUAACUGAUUGGCAUGGCUAUAUCAAAUAAAUUCCAGUAUUUCAAAGGAAACCCAUCUUAUCAGUCUGGUCUCAAGGUUGAUGACUCAUUUUCCUUUUUACUCUUUCGAAAAUAAACUAUAAAGACAUGGAGUUACAUGUGAAAUGCACGACUCGCUUCUUACCAAAACAGCUUUAAAAAUAUGGAAAUAUAUCAAAGUUAUAUUUUAGAUUUGAAAGCUAGCAAAACGGUUCUUUUUGGACAGAUGAGGAUUCUUGAAAUUGAGAGCCUGUUUACAUUUCAAAGCCAUCAGUUACUGCUGUUUUGUCAUAGCUGCUGCAGUCCCACAGAUAUAUGCAUAGUGUGCUUUGGUGUAGGUGCUAAGAUGGACCCAUGUUCAUGGGAACAUGUGUUGCGGUGGAUAAGCAUAACUUUUCAACAUGCUGGGUUAAUAUGGUCAACCACAAUCUUUUCCUUAAACUGAGUAUUUUUGGUGCCAAAACCUGAUCAUGGAGUGAAAGCAAAAUUAUAAAUAUAGUGGUGGUGGUGGGGGGUUGCACGUAAAGGUCCUGAAAGGGAAAAGAACUGCAGUCUUCUGGCAGACAAACUCAUGACUUACUGCAGCACCACCACUCCAUCCUUCAGUCAAGGACUUUGUAGUUGACUAGCAGACUGUUCUCGCUGCUAGUGCGCCGUGGCACUAACACCAUAGACCACUUUGUGCGUAGCUCUCUUGUGCCAGUUGUGAUCUGUCAGCUCAUAUAGGCAAGGUUUGAAAUACAGGAGGAAAGCACAUUAUAAAUGACUGCAUCAGAAGAGGAAUGGUAUAAUAACCGCUGUUUUCUGUCAUUUGCAGGUUCUGGGAUGCAUUAUUGUGACCAAGAUGAAAGUUCAUCAGCUUAAUAAACUCUACACCUACUCUGCACCAACGCUACUUUCCAGCUCUGUCGCAUCCUCAUCCUCUGCAUAUCCCAUUUAUCACUAUCACAUUACACACUGUGAUUGUAGAUCGACUUAACAUAAUGGAAACCUGCACAUUUAAAACUCAUAGCCUAGCUUCUUUCUCCCAGCUGUUAAACUAUUAACUAAAAAACUCAGGGUUUUUAUAGCAAACAUGCACUUUAUUUUUUAUUAUUUAUUUAUUACUUUAUAUGAAGGUACUUAAAAAUAAUUAAACAGAUCAGUUAUUUUAUUAUUUUAUAACCAUGACCUCCUUGAGCCUGGUUCUGAU